CAGUAGCCGCGGUAAUACCGAGGGUGCGAGCGUUAAUCGGAUUUACUGGGCGUAAAGCGUGCGUAGGCGGCUUCUUAAGUCGGAUGUGAAAUCCCUGAGCUUAACUUAGGAAUUGCAUUCGAUACUGGGAAGCUAGAGUAUGGGAGAGGAUGGUAGUAUUCCAGGUGUAGCGGUGAAAUGCGUAGAGAUCUGGAGGAAUACCGAUGGCGAAGGCAGCCAUCUGGCCUAAUACUGACGCUGAGGUACGAAAGCAUGGGGAGCAAACAGGAUUAGAUACCCCUGUAGUCCCUGUCUCUUAUAC
rnacentral:rRNA from 1 species